rnacentral:hammerhead_ribozyme from 1 species
AUCUAGAUGACGGGUCCUAAAGAGGACGAAAUGAGCAUCUUGGAU